GUCGAUUUGGUAGAGUGGUUAAUACGUUUGCCUGCUAAGCAAAUUCCUUCGGGAGCGCAGGUUCGAACCCUGCAGUCGACG
rfam:Dictyostelium lacteum strain TK contig05409_1.exp, whole genome shotgun sequence.